AAAGAAAGCGUAAUAGCUCACUGGUCGAGUCGGCCUGCGCGGAAGAUGUAACGGGGCUAAACCAUGCACCGAAGCUGCGGCAGCGACACUCAGGUGUUGUUGGGUAGGGGAGCGUUCUGUAAGCCUGCGAAGGUGGCCUGUGAGGGUUGCUGGAGGUAUCAGAAGUGCGAAUGCUGACAUAAGUAACGAUAAAGCGGGUGAAAAGCCCGCUCGCCGGCAGACCAA
rnacentral:rRNA from 1 species